GGUGAUGUCUCUUUGCCUAUAUCAAAAGAGGCACUCGACCAUGCUGUGGGUUUUACGACCUUAGACGCAAGUCGUCGAUAGUGUGGUGUGAGGAGGGGUUGAAUGCCC
rnacentral:ncRNA from 1 species